rnacentral:rRNA from 1 species
GUACGGGGGGGAGCAAGCGUUGUUCGGAUUUACUGGGCGUAAAGGGCGGGUAGGCGGCCACCGCAAGUCAGUUGUGAAAUCUCUGGGCUUAACCCAGAAAGGUCAACUGAUACUGCGGGGCUAGAGUGCAGAAGGGGCAACUGGAAUUCUCGGUGUAGCGGUGAAAUGCGUAGAUAUCGAGAGGAACACCUGCGGCGAAGGCGGGUUGCUGGGCUGACACUGACGCUGAACUGCGAAAGCUAGGGGAGCGAACGGG